rnacentral:rRNA from 1 species
GAUGAACGCUAGCGAUAGGCCUAACACAUGCAAGUCGAGGGGCAUCACAUGAAGUAGCAAUACGGAUGGUGGCGACCGGCGCACGGGUGAGUAACACGUAUGCAACCUGCCUUCAACAAGGGGAUAACCCGUUGAAAGACGGACUAAUACCCUAUAACACAGGGGUCCCGCAUGGGAAUAUUUGUUAAAGGACAACCGGUUGAAGAUGGGCAUGCGUUCCAUUAGCUAGUUGGCGGGUAACGGCCCACCAAGGCAACGAUGGAUAGGGGAACUGAGAGGUUUAUCCCCCACACUGGUACUGAGACACGGACCAGACUCCUACGGGAGGCAGCAGUGAGGAAUAUUGGUCAAUGGACGCAAGUCUGAACCAGCCACGUCGCGUGAAGGAAGACGGCCCCUACGGGUUGUAAACUUCUUUUAUACGGGAAUAAAGUGCCCCACGCGUGGGGUUUUGACAUGUACCGUAUGAAUAAGGAUCGGCUAACUCCGUGCCAGCAG